rnacentral:misc_RNA from 1 species
UCCGGUUUGACACCGGCAGUCUCCCUAGAGUGCCCGGCAUAACCCGCUGGUAACUAGGGACGAGGGUUGCGCUCGUUGCGGGACUUAACCCAACAUCUCACGACACGAGCUGACGACAGCCAUGCAGCACCUGUGCUGGCGCUCCGAAGAGGGGCCGGUGUUUCCACCAGCUUUCACCAGUAUGUCAAGCCCAGGUAAGGUGGGGAUGACGUCGUAUCUCACUG